UACGUAGGGUCCGAGCGUUGUUCGGAUUUACUGGGCGUAAAGGGCGCGUAGGCGGCCUCCGCAAGUCAGUUGUGAAAUCUCCGAGCUUAACUCGGAAAGGUCAACUGAUACUGCGGGGCUAGAGUGCGGAAGGGGCAACUGGAAUUCUUGGUGUAGCGGUGAAAUGCGUAGAUAUCAAGAGGAACACCUGCGGCGAAGGCGGGUUGCUGGGCCGACACUGACGCUGAGGAGCGAAAGCAUGGGUAGCAAACAGG
rnacentral:rRNA from 1 species